rnacentral:lncRNA from 1 species
AUGGCCCAGGCUUUCCAGGCUCGGCCCCUCCUUCCCUCCGUUCCGCCCUCCCGCCCUCCACCCUCCGCCCUCUAUGGACUGGAGCCACAGGCAGCUCAACUCCUGCCAGGGCAGGGCCUCAGCACCACCCACUGCCAGGGAGGCUGGGGUGCAGAGCCAGCCAGCUCUCCUCGGUGGGCGCCCGCAUCCAGAGCCAGGGAGCCCCUUGGUCUCCACUCCCUGCUCUGCCAGCGGGAAGCCUGUCUGCCUGCUGCCCUCUCCCACGGAGGCUGGCCCUGGACAAGGGGAGGAUGGUGGAGCAGCCCCUCCGCCUUCCCCUCUGUGGCCCCCAUACGGUCAGGAGCCUGGGGACUUGAGGAGGGAGCCGGCCAAGCCCGGAGCUGCCCCAGGGUGGAGCUGGAGCCAGAUCACUAUAAACACGGUCAGUUCCUCUGUUUGUCCCUCCCUCCAUGCGGUGCCCAGAGGGAAGGGGUGGCCCCGGGCAAAUAUCCGGAGGUGUGUCCCUCCAUCCCCUUCCCCUGCACGGUCACACGGUCACACGCACGGAGGGCAGGAUACACGGGGGGCUGGCUGCAGUGUGCAGAGGCGGCUUGGGGUUUAGGGGUGAGGGUUCUGAGGAGGCGGCCCCGUGGUCCGGCUGCCUCCCGCCCACCCCGUCGUGGUGCUGAGCUCCUCCCACCGCAGGGUCUGCCCCUCCCUUUCCCGGGUUUAGUGAGGGGUCACGUGGCCGAUCCUACUCCCCAGAGUGACUCGGUGCCUCAGGCUGUGGGCUGCAGGGUGGAGGAUGGGUAGGGCCGAGUGAGAGAGGCCAAGGUGAGGGGUGAGGCCGGGCCUGGGGCCAGGUGGGGGCACCUCUAGGAGCACGGUGAGGAGGUAGAGGCAGAGUUCUGGGGUGACAGCAGGGAGGAUGGGGGAAGGUCCGGCUGUGGGAACAAAGUGAGGACCGGUACUAGAAAGGCAGACGGCUGAGGGCAGAGAGGCCAGGGAGCAGGAAAGGGGUGGGUGGGGGCCGGGGAGGGAAGUCAAGGCGGGAGGGAUGGGCAGCACCCGAGGGCUGGAACGGGGGAAGACACUGAAGGGGCUACUGGCUCGGUUGAGGGCAGAGGCAAAGGGGCCUCCAUCCUGGCCAGGGCUGUCACACCCCACAUCCCGGCAGCCAGGGGCCCGCAGCAACAGGGAAACUGGACCUGCUGGGGGAGCCCUGGUGGGACCUGGCUCCGGCCACCCGCUGCCCAAGAGGCCCCGACCAGUUGAGACAGGUUGUCUGCUGGGUCCCCACCCCCCUCCUGACUGGGCUCUGCUGCCAAACCGGUUCUCCUAGACGGCUACCCACUGAUGGUCCUACCUCUGGGCCAGGGGUGGCUGGCUGUUCCCCUAACCUCACAGAGCUGCUCUCACAGGAAAGGAACGGGGAGGGAGGAGAACCUGGGGCUGGAGGGCAGCAUCCCAGACACGCUCGAGAGAGUCCUCAGUAGGUCACAAGACUUACGGAGCUUGGGGCCGAGCCUGUGUUGGGCACCGCGCCAGGCUCUGGGGAGCCGCAUGAAGCCGACAAAGAUCCCGGCCCUGUGCCUUUCCCCUCAUCCUCUGGGUCUUAGCUCACACAGCCGCUCUGGUGGGCAGCCGUCCCUGACCCGCACCCUGCCAUCCCUCAGACUGGGUCUGGUCCUCCCUGACCCCAGCCCUGACCGGCCUGGGCUGUCGGAGGCGAUCUCGGCCUCGGUCACCGCCACGUCCCCAGCGUGAACCAGCACAGGGCCGGGCACAAGGGAGUGAGGGUUUAGCAAACGAAUGCACGGCCUGCGUGCAUAUUUUCUUCCUGUUUUCCAGAUGAGUAACUUGAGGCCCCAAGAGGAGACGUCACCCGCCCGAGGGCACUUCUAGCACAGCCCGCAUCAAACCAGGUCUGUGGGACUCUGGGGCCCAGGCGUGGGACGGGGGGCGUGGGACUGGGGCCCCCACCCCAGACAGUGCCGGGAGUACUCGUUAUCAUCAGAGCCAGAGGGGACAAGGGCCCUCACUCCGCGCCCUGCUCUGCUCCCGUUCGCUUGGUUGAUCCUCAGAGCAGCCCCGUGAGGGCGAGAGAGGCUACGUCGCUCGGCCCCGGUCCCGCAGAGUAAGGGGCAGAGAGAGAUUUGUGCUCUGGCCACUUGACUCACCCUGGUCUCCCUGUGGGACACACCACAGCGCAUCUCCCCCGCAGCCUGUUUGGUUUUAAAACUGGCUUUCAUGGAGCGUUUAUACGGUGCCUGGUACCAUCCAAAGUAUCCACCUGGAGACCACAGAUCUUAAAGACGGGGAUUGUUUUGUCUGUUAGUAUCUGCUGCGUGGUGGAACUUUCCCCACUAUGUGAUCCUGGUGAGGAACUUCCUUCUCUGAGCCUCGGUCUCUUGUCUAUAAAGUGGGAGUGUUGCAGUGGGGCUCCCCGGGACCGUGCAUAGGACAGGGACAAUGGAAGCAAUCAUCGAACAAUUGCUCGGUCCCUGAGCACAGGCUAGGGGCCAGGCGCUGUGCUGGGGGUAGGACACAGGCACACUGGGCAGAUGAGACCUGGCCUGUGAUGCUGAUAGUCUUGGGGGGGGGCGGUGUAGACACCCAGCAUUCUUGUGGUAAACACAAGAAUGAACAGUAGAAUUUCCAGAAGUUGAACGUGCUGUGAAACUUUGUGACAAAAGGCUAGAGGGGCACCUCCUUCACUUGGGGUGGUCAGGAAAAGAUUCACCAACAAAUCUGAGACCCCAGAGAGGGGAAGAAGGGAGCCACAUGUGGAUACUGGGGAGGAGUGUGCCACGAGGAGGGAACAGCCAGUGCAAGGGCCCUGAGGUUUGACAACCAGUGUGAAUGAAGGGGACACGAGAGCAGAGAGGGGACAGGGGCAGGUCGUGGGGCAGUGGGGCACAGGGAGGACUUGGCUGAGAGCUCUGAGUGGGGAAGGGCGUUCACGGGGUCUCUCGGGCUGCCUGUGGGGCACGGGAGACCAAGGAGGAGACGAGGAGUGACAGGACCCGGGACCGGGGCAGGGCCUGAGGAGCUGAGAGAAAUGGGCAGGGUCUGGUGAGCGGCCCCCUCCCACAGGCCUGCUGGCAGGAGCCCAAGUCUGCGCCCUCGGGGUG